UUUUUUUAUUAUUUUAGUUGUGAGAUAGUUAAACACUUAAGUAGGAGAUGUGUAAUUGAUGUUUGAAUGAAAUCAUUUUGUAACCGUAAAUCAAGAGUUUCAUUCUUCUAUAAUAAUUUUAUUUAUAUAAAGGUUGUAAGUUAAAUCUGAGUGAAAAUUUGGGUUAAAAAGGUUGCGCAAUGAUAUUUUAAUAAAAGUUCAAGUUGAUAGUGAAACUUUCAAGAAAAAAAUUCUUAAUGAUUAUAGUAGAUUGUAUAGUUUAAGGUUAAAUUAGU
rnacentral:lncRNA from 1 species